UCUAUCGCACUGAGGAUCAUCUGUGCUAAGCCCUAAAGCUCAUAUUGUAUGGAAGGAACCUUGCUUUUGGGACAUCAGUUGGUGUACAGUUCUAUGAUUGACCGAACCUCAAAGAUAGGAUUGGGAAGAGUUAGGAGCAGCGAUGAUCCAUGGAUCUACUACACAUAUAUUUAAGUUAGUCAAAGCCUCGAUGAGUUCUUGUUCCUCUACCACCCUUGCUAUUUUUUUCUUUAAGUAAUGGACAUGGUUAUACACUUUGCAGUGUAUUUCAUUGGGUGGCGCACGUGCAGGACAGGUGCACAUUAAAGGGGAGCAGGAUGAGUUUGAAAUGAUCAUCGAUAAUGAACUGCUGAUAACUAUGAUCGAAGCUUGUCCUGCUCUGUGGGAUGCAUCAGGCCCACACCACGCCAAAAGGCAGUUCAGUCUGGCUUUUUGGAUGGAGGUGUACCAUGCCAUCUGCACCACCUGGGAGGACCUGUCACGAAGUGAAUGAUGGAGUGUUGGACACAUUCCAGUGUUUCUUCACCCCUACCACUAGUAUGGUCCAAAUGUUGUCCCAGGGAGAACCCCUUCCUUCACACCGCCAAAUUUUCCUCUGCCCCCUAAUAUCUCCACCCCUUCAACACCAUUCCCCCAAAUUUCCUAUACCCAGUCCCACUCCUAUUACCUUGAAACCCUCUUCCCAGAUUCUACCCAGAAAGCACAAUUGACUCCUUGCAGCCCCCGGAGGACCCCGGAGGACCCCGGCUCCCCAGACCCUUCCCAAGACCCCCUUUCCCAGCCCAGAUUUAUGGAUUUAGAGGGCACAUGCCCUGCAAACAUAGAUAUAUUUAUUUUUAAUUAAAUAAAAACUCAAUUAAAGAGUUUUG